UGCAGAAAGAACGCCCUCCUCAAGCAAUCGACAGCUUCUCUUGGAUUACCACGGGGGUAUUGAUUGCUCUGCUAAUGUCCACCGCCAUCACCAUGCAUGCAGGUGCCCACGAAACAUGCGAAAUCUUCAAUAAGAAUGCGAAAAUGAGGCUGAGUGAUCAUCGUUUCAAUAUAUCUGUGGGGUCCUCUCCAGCCGAACGCUGGUAUACUUUUAACUUGACAAAUGGAACAUUGCAUACUGUCAACGCGGAAGCGAAGCACGCAAGUUGUGUUGGGGGUGGAAAAAAGUACUACAUUUCAGUUGUGGGCUGGUACGCCAACUACACAGGAACAGUUACUAAUAUGUCAGGAUGGUUCGACCACUUUAACGUCACUGUUACUCUGGAUCAGUAUACCUCUCCACCAAAUCCCGCAGAGAUCACCGUAUCUUUAAGAGAUGAGGGAAG